GAUAUUUCCUGAAUCGGGAACUGCGUUAGAAACUAUUUUCCGAAUUUAUUCCAAAGCAGAAGACACAGAAAGCCCAUUGUUGUACUCGUUCUAUUGUGAUAUUGGAAAUGGCACAUUGCUACUUGCUUCGUAUUUUGACCACUGGACAGUUGACACGUUUUUGCCCUACGUAGAUGGUGGUACAGAUAUCUGGAUGGUGGUAUGUGAUAGCCUCGGCGCUUGCUCCAGGAGCGAUGUGAAGACGAUUGAAUUACAUCCAAACAAUAACAUUAGCAUUGACGUGGUUUCAAAAGUUAUGAACGAUUAUAUAAAACGAUGUGAAAUACUACAGUUUCAACGUAUCGCUAUGUCAGCUAUCGUCAGUUACAGGAAUGCAGGUCAAUCGGAACUAACGAUAUUUACGAAGUCAGUGCUUGAAUCAUUGCCAGGGUUACACCCUCGCUGCUUAUCAGAAAGCCGAUAUUUGGAAGUUUUAAGUAAAUUGGCUGCUGUUGGCGUCAACACGACUUCGAUAUUUAAAUAAUUGGCGUUUCCAUAACGGUUU